GACGAACGCUGGCGGCGUGCCUAAUACACGCAAGUCGAACGGUCUUUUCUAUGGAAGCUUGCUUCCACUGAGAAGAUAGUGGCGAACGGGUGAGUAACACGUGGGUAACCUGCCCAUAAGAGGGGGAUAACAUCCGGAAACGGGUGCUAAUACCGCAUAGUUUUCUUGAUCGCAUGAUCGAGAACGGAAAGACGGCCUUUGUGCUGUCGGUUAUGGAUGAACCGGCGGCGUAUUAGUUAGUUGGUGAGGUAACGGCUCACCAAGACGAUGAUACGUAGCCGACCUGAGAGGGUGAUCGGCCGCAUUGGGACUGAGACCCGGCCCAAACUCCUACGGGAGGCAGCAGUAGGGAAUCUUCCGCAAUGGACGAAAGUCUGACGGAGCAACGCCGCGUGAGUGAAGAAGGUUUUCGGAUCGUAAAACUCUGUUGUCAGAGAAGAACAAGUCGGAGAGUAACUGCUCCGGCCUUGACGGUAUCUGACCAGAAAGCCACGGCUAACUACGUGCCAGCCGCCGCCGUAAUAC
rnacentral:rRNA from 1 species